GGUUCAAGUCCCUCUAUCCCCAAAAAGACC
rnacentral:tRNA from 1 species